CAUAACCACCCUGAACACGCCUGCUCUCAUCUUGAGCUCAGAAGCUAAGCAGGGUCAGGCCUGGUUAGUACUUCGAUGGAAGAAUUACAUAAAUUAGUUUUGUUUGUGU
ensembl:rRNA 5S_rRNA 5S ribosomal RNA